CCUACGGGUGGCAGCAGUGGGGGAUAUUGCACAAUGGGGGAAACCCUGAUGCAGCGACGCCGCGUGUGGGAAGACGGUCCUCUGGAUUGUAAACCACUGUCCCCAGGGACGAAGAUGACGGGACCUGGGGAGGAAGCACCGGCUAACUACGUGCCAGCAGCCGCGGUAAGACGUAGGGAGCGAGUGUUGUCCGGAAGUACGGGGUGUAACGGGAGCGGAGGCGGGGAUUCAAGGUGGGUGUCAAAACGACCGGCUCAACUGGUAGUCGCACGCAAAACUGCAGCUCUUGAGUGAAGUAGAGGCAGGCGGAAUUCCUAGUGUAGCGGUGAAAUGCGUAGAUAUUAGGAGGAACCCCAGUGGCGAAGGCGGCCUGCUGGGCUUUUCCUGACGCUGAGGCUCGAAAGUGUGGGGAGCAAACAGGAUUAGAUACCCGUGUAGUC
rnacentral:rRNA from 1 species